GAUGAACGCUGGCGGCGUGCUUAACACAUGCAAGUCGAACGAUGAAGCCUAGCUUGCUGGGUGGAUUAGUGGCGAACGGGUGAGUAACACGUGAGUAACCUGCCCCUGACUCUGGGAUAAGCCUGAGAAAUUGGGUCUAAUACCGGAUAUGAACACUUAUCGCAUGGUGGGUGUUGGAAAGAUUUUUUGGUUGGGGAUGGGCUCGCGGCCUAUCAGCUUGUUGGUGAGG
rnacentral:rRNA from 1 species